AAAAAGAAGAAUUUCUAAGUGAAUACGAAAAUAUGAUGUAAUAGGGGAUUAUACCUGAGGAGUUCGACGGAAGGCCGUGCGGAUCUCGUUCAGGCGUUGUGCAGCGAGGCGACCAAACAUUUUUGGUCUCCGGCGAUUAUCCGGGCAGACGGAGGUCGGAGAAAAUGGAGAUUUUGGGGCAGUGAGGAAAAUGGAGAAAUUUGAAGUCUCACUGAACAUUUUUGGUCUCCGGCAAUUAUCCGAGCAGACGGAGGUCGGAGAAAAUGGAGAUUUUGGAGCAGCGAGGAAAAUGGAGAAAUCCGAAGUCUCACUAUGAAGGUUUUGCGUGCCUCACACACGUCCCUUGUUCGCG
rnacentral:lncRNA from 1 species